CUACAUAAGGAUAAUUGAAAAAAACUUCCAUAUGUGUACAUGAAUUAUAAAUUACAAAAUCAAAUAUUUCAUUAUAAAAAAAGAAGAUAUCCUGAAUCAAAAAAAAAUUUUCAUGAAAAAUUAUUCGUUUUCUAUUUGGAUCUAAUAUGAAGAAAUAUAGAAAUAUAUUGCAGACCGUUGCAUUUUCCAACAAUAUCAUUCAGGCCACUUUUGCGAUGAAAUAUCGAACACUAAUGUAAUUGACCAGAUGCUGACUUAUCAGAACCGCCAGCAUACAGAAUAUCUCAAUGCAACCGGAACUCAGAAAAACCGUCCUCUCAUCGGCAUCUUUUUAUCAUCUCGAUCUAUUCUAAACCAACUCGAUUACAUGUCGAUAAACGGAAAUGGAGCGAUUCGAA